CUAAUUACUACUUACUACAAUUAAAUAUUACAUUGUAAUUAGUAUUAUAAUUUUCACUGUUAUUAAUAGUUAGAUAAGUCAUACAAAUCUUAUCUUGAAUUUCAUUCAAAUUCUUUCUUGAAUUUCGGAACACGUUUUAGAAAUUUAAUUGUGAUGUCACGUCACUUUGGGUGGUGCAACAACUAUGGCUAACACGACUGUGAUUGUCAUGUUUUCGUUUUUAUUCUUUAGCUAGUCA
rnacentral:lncRNA from 1 species